AGAGUUUGAUCCUGGCUCAGAGCGAACGCUGGCGGCAUGCUUAACACAUGCAAGUCGCACGGUUGGGUUUCGGCCUGGCAGUGGCGGACGGGUGAGUAACGCGUAGGGAUCUGUCCACGGGUGGGGGAUAACGCUGGGAAACUGGUGCUAAUACCGCAUGACACCGAGGGGUCAAAGGUCGCAAGACCGCCUGUGGAGGA
rnacentral:rRNA from 1 species